CAAAGAACUGACUCAUUGGAAAAGACCCUGAUGCUGGGAAAGAUUGAAGGCAGGAAGAGAAGGGGACGACGAGGAUGAGAUGGUUGGAUGGCAUCACCGACUCAAUGCGCAUGAGUUUGGUUAAACUUCGGGAGCUGAUGAUGGACAGGGAGGCCUGGCGUGCUGCAGUCCAUGAGGCUGCAAAGAGUUAGACACAACUUAGCCACUGAACAACAACAAAAAUAAGCAAAUAGAAGUAACUGCUUAGGACUCAGCCUGAGAAAACUGGACAACCUCCACCCCAAGCUCCUGAGAGGUCAUCGGUGCCUGCAGUCCGUCCCCCGCCCGCCGUGACCUGGGAGGGACGAUGGCCCUUCCUGUGGCUCUCUGCGCUCCUCCUUUGCUGGGGUCUGUAAGUGACAAGUCUUGUAACUUUACUUCCUCUGUGUGACUGCACUGCAACUACACCUUGAAUCUAAAUGACCCGGUGUCUUCACCUCCCCAGGGCUGAGCUCGGAUGCUGCGGACGCUGGGCGGGUGGCUUGGGUGUCCUCAGUCAGCAGGUCAUCAUCUGCAUGUUCUCAACUUAGUAUACCAGCUCUGGCCUCCCAGCUCCAGCCCCCAGUGUUCACGUCCACUCAGAGCCCCAGAAUGUGACCUUCUUUGAAAAUUAGUAUCUUUGCAGAUACACUUCAUUAUGACGAAGUCACACCAGAUUCGGAUGGGCCUCUAAUCCCAUGGGACUGAUGUCCUUAGGAGAGGGCUGUAUAGAGAUGCAGGGAGACACAGGCACACAGAGGGAAGAAAGGCCACGGGAAGACGGGGGCAGAGAUGGGAGCAAUGCAUUGGCAGGCCAAAGCCGAGGGUCACGGCAGCCCCCAGGAGCUCCUGGAGAGGCUGGAUUCCCCAUCACAGCCUCCAGAAGCAACCAACCCUGCUGACACUGUGAUCUCAGAUCUCCAGCUUCCAGAUCCGUCAGACAGUAACUUUGCGCGAUUUAAACCACCUGUUCUGUCCUACUUGUUUGCAGCGGCCCCUGGAAACUGACACAGAGAGCUGAUGGCCUGGCCAGACCCCCCACCGCCGCCCCCCUGGACUUUCCUGCCAGGAGGAGGAUGUGGGCCUCAGGGAGACGUCCAGGCAGACACACUGUUUACCCUCAGACAGGCUUUGUCCCCUGAGGCUCAUCCUCCCGAGAACUGACCCACGGAACUCUGACCCUGCCCUCCUUUACCCUUAGCGCUCCUUCUAAGGGUCCACUUUUCUCAUCUGAUUUCCCUCUGUGGCCCACAGGCUGGCUCCGGGCUCUGAGCAGGGUGCCUGGCACGGGAUGGAACACCACAAAUAAGCUCUUGGACUAUAGCUAUGCGUUACAGGGAGGAGAUGGUCAGAGCCGUCAAGAAAGCUACUCUUCUGAUCUGGGUCUGCGACACAACCUAGGUUGCAGGGUGGGGGGUACCCCUGAGCCAGUUUUGUGCUCCUCUGCAAAAUGGGACAAAUAAUAACACUGCGUGAUCUGGAAGCCAUAACAAGAUGAUGGGAAUCAAAGUGGUCACCUCCAUCUAGCCGUGAACUUGAGGGCUGUACAAAUGCGGAAUGAAAUGUUAUCAUUCUUCAGGGGAGCUGGAUUUCAUGAGGAGCUCUGUAUUUUAC
ensembl:lncRNA